ACUAUCGUUAACUGAAUACAUAGGUUAACGAGGCGAACCGGGGGAACUGAAACAUCUAAGUACCCCGAGGAAAAGAAAUCAACCGAGAUUCCCCCAGUAGCGGCGAGCGAACGGGGAGCAGCCCAGAGUCUGAAUCAGCUUGUGUGUUAGUGGAACGGUCUGGAAAGUCCGACGGUACAGGGUGAUAGUCCCGUACACCAAAAUGCACAGGUUGUGAACUCGAAGAGUAGGGCGGGACACGUGGUAUCCUGUCUGAAUAUGGGGGGACCAUCCUCCAAGGCUAAAUACUCCUGACUGACCGAUAGUGAACCAGUACCGUGAGGGAAAGGCGAAAAGAACCCCGGCGAGGGGAGUGAAAAAGAACCUGAAACCGUGUACGUACAAGCAGUGGGAGCACCUUCGGGUGUGACUGCGUACCUUUUGUAUAAUGGGUCAGCGACUUAUAUUCUGUAGCAAGGUUAACCGUAUAGGGGAGCCGCAGGGAAACCGAGUCUUAACUGGGCGUUAAGUUGCAGGGUAUAGACCCGAAACCCGGUGAUCUAGCCAUGGGCAGGUUGAAGGUUGGGUAACACUAACUGGAGGACCGAACCGACUAAUGUUGAAAAAUUAGCGGAUGACUUGUGGCUGGGGGUGAAAGGCCAAUCAAACCGGGAGAUAGCUGGUUCUCCCCGAAAGCUAUUUAGGUAGCGCCUCGUGAAUUCAUCUUCGGGGGUAGAGCACUGUUUCGGCUAGGGGGUCAUCCCGACUUACCAACCCGAUGCAAACUACGAAUACCGAAGAAUGUUAUCACGGGAGACACACGGCGGGUGCUAACGUCCGUCGUGAAGAGGGAAACAACCCAGACCGCCAGCUAAGGUCCCAAAGUCAUGGUUAAGUGGGAAACGAUGUGGGAAGGCACAGACAGCCAGGAUGUUGGCUUAGAAGCAGCCAUCAUUUAAAGAAAGCGUAAUAGCUCACUGGUCGAGUCGGCCUGCGCGGAAGAUGUAACGGGGCUAAACCAUGCACCGAAGCUGCGGCAGCGACACUAUGUGUUGUUGGGUAGGGGAGCGUUCUGUAAGCCUGCGAAGGUGACCUGUGAGGGUUGCUGGAGGUAUCAGAAGUGCGAAUGCUGACAUAAGUAACGAUAAAGCGGGUGAAAAGCCCGCUCGCCGGAAGACCAAGGGUUCCUGUCCAACGUUAAUCGGGGCAGGGUGAGUCGACCCCUAAGGCGAGGCCGAAAGGCGUAGUCGAUGGGAAACAGGUUAAUAUUCCUGUACUUGGUGUUACUGCGAAGGGGGGACGGAGAAGGCUAUGUUAGCCGGGCGACGGUUGUCCCGGUUUAAGCAUGUAGGCUGAUUGUCCAGGCAAAUCCGGAUAAUCAAGGCUGAGGUGUGAUGACGAGGCACUACGGUGCUGAAGUAACAAAUGCCCUGCUUCCAGGAAAAGCCUCUAAGCAUCAGGUAACAUUAAAUCGUACCCCAAACCGACACAGGUGGUCAGGUAGAGAAUACCAAGGCGCUUGAGAGAACUCGGGUGAAGGAACUAGGCAAAAUGGUGCCGUAACUUCGGGAGAAGGCACGCUGGUGUGUAGGUGAAGUCCCUGCGGAUGGAGCUGAGACCAGUCGAAGAUACCAGCUGGCUGCAACUGUUUAUUAAAAACACAGCACUGUGCAAACACGAAAGUGGACGUAUACGGUGUGACGCCUGCCCGGUGCCGGAAGGUUAAUUGAUGGGGUUAUCCGUAAGGAGAAGCUCUUGAUCGAAGCCCCGGUAAACGGCGGCCGUAACUAUAACGGUCCUAAGGUAGCGAAAUUCCUUGUCGGGUAAGUUCCGACCUGCACGAAUGGCGUAAUGAUGGCCAGGCUGUCUCCACCCGAGACUCAGUGAAAUUGAACUCGCUGUGAAGAUGCAGUGUACCCGCGGCAAGACGGAAAGACCCCGUGAACCUUUACUAUAGCUUGACACUGAACAUUGAGCCUUGAUGUGUAGGAUAGGUGGGAGGCUUUGAAGCGUGGACGCCAGUCUGCGUGGAGCCAACCUUGAAAUACCACCCUUUAAUGUUUGAUGUUCUAACGUUGGCCCCUGACCGGGGUUGCGGACAGUGUCUGGUGGGUAGUUUGACUGGGGCGGUCUCCUCCCAAAGCGUAACGGAGGAGCACGAAGGUUAGCUAAUCCUGGUCGGACAUCAGGAGGUUAGUGCAAUGGCAUAAGCUAGCUUGACUGCGAGCGUGACGGCGCGAGCAGGUGCGAAAGCAGGUCAUAGUGAUCCGGUGGUUCUGAAUGGAAGGGCCAUCGCUCAACGGAUAAAAGGUACUCCGGGGAUAACAGGCUGAUACCGCCCAAGAGUUCAUAUCGACGGCGGUGUUUGGCACCUCGAUGUCGGCUCAUCACAUCCUGGGGCUGAAGUAGGUCCCAAGGGUAUGGCUGUUCGCCAUUUAAAGUGGUACGCGAGCUGGGUUUAGAACGUCGUGAGACAGUUCGGUCCCUAUCUGCCGUGGGCGCUGGAGAAUUGAGGGGGGCUGCUCCUAGUACGAGAGGACCGGAGUGGACGCAUCACUGGUGUUCGGGUUGUCAUGCCAAUGGCACUGCCCGGUAGCUAAAUGCGGAAGAGAUAAGUGCUGAAAGCAUCUAAGCACGAAACUUGCCCCGAGAUGAGUUCU
rnacentral:rRNA from 1 species